GACGAACGCUGGCGGCGUGCUUAACACAUGCAAGUCGAACGGAAAGGCCUGCUUUCCCUUGUGGAUUGCGGGUACUCGAGUGGCGAACGGGUGAGUAACACGUGAGUGAUCUGCCCCCAACUUGGGUAUAAGCCUGGGAAACUGGGUCUAAUUCCCGAUAGGACUGCAGGGUGGUGCCUGUGGUGGAAAACGAUUUUCUAGUGGUUGGGGAUGAGCUCGCGGCCUAUCAGCUUGUUGGUGGGGUAAUGGCCUACCAAGGCGGCGACGGGUAGCCGGCCUGAGAGGGUGGACGGCCACAUUGGGACUGAGAUACGGCCCAGACUCCUACGGGAGGCAGCAGUGGGGAAUAUGGCACAAUGGGCGGAAGCCUGAUGCAGCGACGCCGCGUGGGGGAUGACGGCCUUCGGGUUGUAAACUCCUUUCAACCGCGAGGAAGCCACCUGGUUGGAAGGGUGGUGACGGUAGUGGUAGAAGAAGCACCGGCUAACUACGUG
rnacentral:rRNA from 1 species